ensembl:lncRNA
UUACUAUUUAGCAGUAAAUGCACACUGAAAGUCAGGUUUGGAACAGCAUGAGGUUGAGUAAAUAAUGGCAGAGUUGUCAUUUUUAUGUAAACUAUUCCUCAAAGUGUGCAUGGUAUCAUGCUGAAAAUGGGACUUUAAUACAUCUUGUCAAAUGUACAGUUCCUGCAUAAAAAAAUUAAAACAAUACCCCAUUUUUUUAUGCAAUACAACAUAAACCAGCACACUAACAGAACCACAGGAUGUUAAGAGUGUUUGAGGGAUGGUGAGACAGAGCAGUGCUGCAUAUUUUUGAUGAUUUGUCGACUACAGAAGAAGAGGGCUGCCUGUGGCACAACUCUCUACAGGGAGCCGGAGCAGAGAGAUAAUGCUAUGCAGAUGAUUCCCACCGGAACCUCACGCACUGAUUUGAGAGCUUGAAAAAGAGGCAGAAGCUGAUAGAGACAGGAGGGUGAAAAUGAGGAAGCAAGACGUGGAUACUUUGACUGCAGAAGUUGAAGCCACUGUAGGUGGAGACAUGCUGAAUUCUGAAGCUGGCAGUGAUGUUACCACAGACUCUCCUCCUGAAAAAAGUCCAUUACAUCUAGCCCAUUAUCAAGCCCACAAGCACCAGAGCUACUCAGCUAAGGACCCAAAAUUUCAACUCAGAUAAAGAAGUACUUUGAUGCCAUUCAAGAAACAGACACAAAUGUUGCACUUGAAUUUUGGGCUUAAAACAGGGAGAAAUUCCCACUACUCCAUUCUCUGGCAGUGAAAGUGUUGUCUAUACCAGCAUCCUCUGCACCAGUAGAGCGUGUCUUUAGUAAAGGUGGCAUCAUCAUGAGACCACAUCAUGCACGCUUGACCCACAAAAUGGUCACAGAACUUGUAUUUCUGAAAAGCAAUAUGGCCCUGAUUUAGUGCCCUGUCUGUGUGAUACAGUACAUUGUAUUUUCAAUGUUCAUUGCAGCUCACGUUAAAAAGUUACCAGAACAGAGCUCUGUUCAGAAACAAGUUUCUUGUCAUUGAUAGACAGAAUAAAUAAAGCAAUGACUACUAGGUCUUUUUCUGUUUUCUGCAUGUUUUCUGCAUCCUCUGUAAAUGUGUGACAGGGGCAUCAAAUAAUUAAAGUGUCAGUUGUUGAACUGGAAGACACAACAGUGAUACAAUAACGAAACAGGUUAAUUUGUAUUUUCAUAAACUUAUAAUUUAAUAAAACUACUACAUAAACCUCUAUAUGAUGUUUUUGCUUUAAAACAAGUUUUAUUAGACAGGAAACUAGUUAAGGUGACGAUGACAUGAAAUAAAAAACAUUAAAUGGCAAAAUGUAGUAGUUUUUUUGUUAAAUUUAUAUUGCCAUUGGUUUUUAAAAGUUAAAAUAUUAAUUUAAUGGCUCAGUUUUGAGUUUAAAUUCAAUAAAAAAAAAAAUUCAUUUGCAUUUUCAUUUAUUUUCUUCCAAUAUAAUUCACUUUCUGGACUCGACCAGACUCGAAUUGGACUCAAACAUUAAGGACUCUGACUUGAGUCCAACUCGGCUCCUUUUGGACUCAGACUCGGACUCUAUAGGUUACGGACUUGGUCUUGACUCGGACUCGACAUAGGUGGACUCAAACCUAACACUAAAAGACACGCAGUGAAGAAUUAGCUCUGAAAAGGCAUGGACAGUUAUUUUUGCUCCUGACCUUACUGAAUAUGCAUUUGUAGUUUCCUUUUCAGACGCAAACUUUAUGGGAGGAGAGUAUAAAAAUGAAUCACGCAACGUGAUUUACUAACGGUUGCGUUGGUCAAAUUACUGGUAUUUGCGCCAUUAUUUAAUGCCCAAAAAAAGCAUGGCAGUAAUUUGCGCUGCUCUUAGUAAAUUUCAUUGGUUAUUAUGGAAAUUAACUGGCUAUGUCUGUAUUCUUUAAUGUGUGCAUUGCCAGUAAAUCACCCACAUAAUUUCCCCCUCCGAUUUGUGCUUUUAUGGAAUUUUGCUUUAAUGCUAAUUUGCCCUGUUUAGUAAAUCUGGCCCUUAGUUUCCCUCACUCCACAACAAAUACUUUAAAUUUAAUGGUUACUCAGAACAGAACAAUGAAGAAUGAAAAAGAAUGAAAAAUAAGUAGCUACAAAAUUAUAUAUUAAACUAUAAAAUCAAAUAGUGACAUUUAUUAUAAACAGCACACCCACGUUAAGCUAAAUUAAUUUAUUUUAUGCAAAACUGAAAUUACUUUGGGCUCACGAGCCUCUCCCAUUCGACAAGAAUCCAAAUGUUUCCAAUUUUGCCAUGUAACAUUUGGUUGCUAAACUAUUAUUAAUUACGUAAACAAGGCUUUGUACAUCACUCGUGUUCCAAUAUCCACAUAAAACAACAUUCUCACGUGCAAAAAUGUUUCUUUGGUGUCUGCACGCUGAAUUUACAGUGGACCUUUUAAAAUGAGCAGUGUAACUUAUCUUUAGUUUACUGCAUUUUAGUUUGAUUAUGAAUGGCUGAAAUUGCAAGUAAGUAACACUAGAACUGAUAUGUUGUGUGUGUGCGCAUGAGAAAAUAAAAAUGGGUGCAGCCUAUACUAAAUUUCUGUUUGUGGCAAUGUGUGAAUCCUCCUGGUCUUUUGUUUAAGCUGCUUUUUAUGCAUACAAAUCUAAAGCCCUGAAACAACAACAACAACAACAAAUAAUCUUACUAGUUAAUGAUCAACUCAUGAGCUAAAUGAACAAAAUGCUGUCAUCAUACAAUUCUCUGCUUAUCAAAAGUGAUUUUGAGUAAGCUAAGUGCUGGUUAAGAUCCUUGCAGCUCAGGGUGAGCAUUCAAGGAAGCAAUUGUAUUAGAACUUUAAAACCUUUCUUGAAUAUUCCCUUGUGUUCAUAUAUACAUUAUUUUAAUCAGAUCAGAGCCUUCAAAUGAAUAUUGCAGGGAAAAUGUUGUCCAUGAUAAGGCAAUAGAUUAUAACAAUGUAAAUCAUUAAAGCUGUACUAUAUUUGUCCUCCUUAAUGGUUCAAAGAUUUGUCCUUUGUCUCUUUUACAGUCCCACUGAGCAAAUGUCUGCUUAUUGGCCAACAAUUUACAGCGUACACAGAGCGUCAGCGUAUCUCAGGAUUAUCAGAGCUGGAGUGUGCUGUGUAAACUGACCUUGUUAUUGAACCUGUGCUCUCUUCGUCAUGCUAACAUGCAGCACCAGUCAGUCUGCAUUAAAUGUCUGGUAAUAGGUGGAAUGACUGACAUUAAAAGCUUUCUGGGCCUUGAUGCCACAAUAGCUUUUCAUUAGAGCUCUGCAUUCAGAUUCGCUUGAGACUAAUGGUGCCUUUAAGUGCACCAUAUCUUUUCCAAGUCUUCUUUUCAGAAACAGUUCAUGUUCAAAGUACUUGUAGGCUUUCAAGUGUUUUUAUUUAUUUAUUUUUUCUCACAACAUCAUAACCCCUAAAAGCCUUCUACAGUGAGCAGUUUGUGUGUCCACAUCAUAUUCACUCUGAAUGAGAACCUAAAG